rnacentral:rRNA from 1 species
UGCGGAAGGAUCAUUAUUGAAUUAUGUUUUCCGGAUGGGUUGUAGCUGGCUCCUCGGAGCAUGUGCACGCUUGUUCGGACUUCAUUUUCAUCCACCUGUGCACCUUUUGUAGUCUUCGUCGGAUUUUGAGGAAGUGGUCGGCCUAUCAGCACUUGCUGGAUUUGAGGACCUGUGGUGUGCAAGCACUGCUGUUCUCUAUGCGACCACGGAAUCGUCUUCCUGUCGGAGUCUAUGUCAUUCAUAUACCCUAUMGAAUGUUAUCGAAUGUCUUUACAUGGGCCUAGCCUAUGAAAACUAUAAUACAACUUUCAGCAACGGAUCUCUUGGCUCUCGCAUCGAUGAAGAACGCAGCGAAAUGCGAUAAGUAAUGUGAAUUGCAGAAUUCAGUGAAUCAUCGAAUCUUUGAACGCAUCUUGCGCUCCUUGGUAUUCCGAGGAGCAUGCCUGUUUGAGUGUCAUUAAAUUCUCAACUCUCCAAUACUUUUGCGGUAAAGGAGGGCUUGGAUUGUUGGGGGGUUGUGCUGGCCACUUUGUGAGGCCAGCUCCCCUGAAAUGCAUUAGCGGAACCGUUUGCGAUCUGCCACAAGUGUGAUAACUAUCUACACUAGCGAGGGGAUUGCUCUGUGUUGUUCAGCUUCCAAUCGUCUGCAAAGACAAUUUUCUGAAUGCUUGACCUCAAAUCAAGUAGGAUUACCCGCUGAGC